GCCGGGGUAGCUCAAUGGUAGAGCAGUUGCUUUGUAAGCAUCAGGUUGGAGGUUCGAUCCCUCUUCCCGGCUCCA
rnacentral:tRNA from 1 species